rnacentral:rRNA from 1 species
CAGGCUUAACACAUGCAAGUCGAGGGGAAACGACAUCGAAAGCUUGCUUUUGAUGGGCGUCGACCGGCGCACGGGUGAGUAACGCGUAUCCAACCUGCCCAUCACUUGGGGAUAACCUUGCGAAAGUAAGACUAAUACCCAAUGACGUCUCUAGAAGGCAUCUGAAAGAGAUUAAAGAUUUAUCGGUGAUGGAUGGGGAUGCGUCUGAUUAGCUUGUUGGCGGGGUAACGGCCCACCAAGGCAACGAUCAGUAGGGGUUCUGAGAGGAAGGUCCCCCACAUUGGAACUGAGACACGGUCCAAACUCCUACGGGAGGCAGCAGUGAGGAAUAUUGGUCAAUGGGCGAGAGCCUGAACCAGCCAAGUAGCGUGCAGAAUGACGGCCCUAUGGGUUGUAAACUGCUUUUAUAAGGGAAUAAAGUGAGUCUCGUGAGACUUUUUGCAUGUACCUUAUGAAUAAGGACCGGCUAAUUCCGUGCCAGCAGCCGCGGUAAUACGGAAGGUCCGGGCGUUAUCCGGAUUUAUUGGGUUUAAAGGGAGCGUAGGCCGGAGAUUAAGCGUGUUGUGAAAUGUAGACGCUCAACGUCUGCACUGCAGCGCGAACUGGUUUCCUUGAGUACGCACAAAGUGGGCGGAAUUCGUGGUGUAGCGGUGAAAUGCUUAGAUAUCACGAAGAACUCCGAUUGCGAAGGCAGCUCACUGGAGCGCGACUGACGCUGAAGCUCGAAAGUGCGGGUAUCGAACAGGAUUAGAUACCCUGGUAGUCCGCACGGUAAACGAUGGAUGCCCGCUGUUGGUCUGAAUAGGUCAGCGGCCAAGCGAAAGCAUUAAGCAUCCCACCUGGGGAGUACGCCGGCAACGGUGCAACUCAAAUGAAUUGACGGA